ensembl:lncRNA
GUCAGGGUCACCAUAUCCCAACUCUCCCUGAGACACCUGCAGGGAGUGGGGUCACGGUCAGGCUCACCAUAUCCCAACUCCCCGAGACACCUGCAGGGAGUGGGGUCACGGUCAGGGUCACCAUAUCCCAACUCCCCUGAGACACCUGCAGGGAGUGGGGUCACGGUCAGGCUCACCAUAUCCCAACUCCCCGAGACACCUGCAGGGAGUGGGGUCACGGUCAGGGUCACCACAUCCCAACUCCCCUGAGACACCUGCAGGGAGUGGGGUCACAGUCAGGGUCACCAUAUCCCAACUCCCCCUGAGACACCUGCAGGGAGUGGGGUCACGGUCAGGGUCACCAUAUCCCAACUCUCCCUGAGACACCUGCAGGGAGUGGGGUCACAGUCAGGGUCAACAUUGUACAGAGCCCCUGGAGCAAUUAGGUUUAAAGUGCCUUGCUCAAGGGCACAAGCGACAGAUUUUUCAUCUCUGUUACUGGCCCAACACUCUAACCUCGAGGCUACCUGCCAUCCUGAGGGAUAAUGUUUCCUGCAUUCAUACAACAAUAAACAGACACCAUUAAGAUCUCACUAACCCGUAAGGGUAUGAACAUGUUUGCCCUGAUAUCUACAACUAGUGAUGUAAGAUGGAAAAGAAAUGGGCCAGCCACAUCUAAUUCUAGGACCUGUCUGUCUGUCUGUCUGUCUGUUUCUCGGUCUGUCUGUCUGUCCGUCUGUCUGUAUCUGUCUCUGGGUCUCUGUCUGUCUGUCUAUCUGUCUGUCUGUCCGUAUCUGGGUCUCUGUCUGUCUGUCUGUCCGUAUCUGGGUCUCUGUCUGUCUGUGUCUGUCUGUCUGUCUGUCUGUCCGUCUGUCUGUCUGUCUGUCUGUCUGUCUGUUUCUCUGUCUGUCUGUCUAUCUGUCUGGGUCUCUGUCUGUCUGUCUGUCUGUCUGUCUGUCUGUCUGUCUGUCUGUCUGUCUGUCUGUCUGUCUGUCUGUCUGUCUGUUUCUCGGUCUGUCUGUAUCUGUCUCUGGGUCUCUGUCUGUCUGUCUGUCUGUCUGUCUGUCUGUCUAUCUGUCUCUG